AUGAAAAAACAAUCAGAUGUUUAUCAGUUAAUGUUAGUAUCAGUUUACACAAUCAGAGGGUUUGACUUCUCUAUUCCUUUAUUGAAACAGCAGCUAAAUAAUGUGUUAUUAAUCCCUCUUUGCGUGUGUGUUGUUUUGUAUGUGUGUGUGUGUUACGCAGGUAUGAAUGAAUGUUUUACAGCUAGAUGAGUUGAAACUUGUCUUCAGUAUUCCACAGAACAGCCACUCCCUAACUAGUGUGCCAAAAAGUUUUAGUGUCUCCUCACAAACACUCAAUUCAACACAACAUUUCUCUUCAGAUUUCAUCCGGAUGUCUUUUGUUGUUUUAAAUGCAGAAAACCGAAUAAAGCGUCAGAAUCACGUGACGAUCAUCUUUUCAAAUGAAAACAACAUGUUGGCGGGCGAAUAAAGAUGACGUGAGUCACCGUUUACUCCACCCCAGAGUUUCAGUGUCAGGCGUCUCAGACUACGGCAUCAGUAAUCUCCAGCUCAUAAGACUGAACUUCUCCAUCCGACUACUUCAGGUGUUUUUAAUUAGGGUUGGAACAAAACUCUGCAGGACGGUGGCCCUCCAGGACCCAGGGUUCCCCACUCCUGAUUUAAAGGCUUCAUUUUUACCUGGCUUACAUGUUAUAUGUUGCUUAAAAAUAAAACGUAUUGUGUCCAGUUGAGAAGUUGUUGUUUGUAUACGCAGACAUUUGAAAAUAACACAUUUUAGUGUUGCAAUGGCAAUAUGG